rnacentral:rRNA from 1 species
GAUGAACGCUGGCGGCGUGCCUAACACAUGCAAGUCGAGCGAUCUUCUUCGGAAGAGAGCGGCGGACGGGUGAGUAACGCGUGGGUAACCUGCCCUGUACACACGGAUAACAUACCGAAAGGUAUGCUAAUACGAGAUAAUAUGCUUUUAUCGCACGGUAGAAGUAUCAAAGCUCCGGGGGUACAGGAUGGACCCGCGUCUGAUUAGCUAGUUGGUAAGGUAAUGGCUUACCAAGGCGACGAUCAGUAGCCGACCUGAGAGGGUGAUCGGCCACAUUGGAACUGAGGCGCGGUCCAAACGCCUGCGGGAGGCAGCAGUGGGGAAUAUUGCACAAUGGGCGAAAGCCUGAGGCAGCAACGCCGCGCGAGCGAUGAAGGCCUUCGGGUCGUAAAGCUCUGUCCUCAAGGAAGAUAAUGACGGUACUUGAGGAGGAAGCCCCGGCUAACUACGUGCCAGCCGCCGCCGUAA